UUUAAUUUGAUAUAUAAGUAGACACUGAGUGAGGCACCGCCCCUCUUCCUCCUGCUGUGGUGCUGUGGCCAAGCACCUGUGUGGUCGCUGCACCAGGGCUCCAGUUGGCUUGGGGCUCAGUUUGUUAGGGCCCUGCAACCUGAGCCCACUCCGUUGCCGAUGGCUCGCUCCGUGGUUGAUGCUGAUUGUUGCACCCCAUUGUCCUGUUGAGUGGUGAAGACUGGGGUUAGCUGAGAUGGGUGACUUAUCACUGAAGUCUGCUGAAGUGCUUAAUCUGAGUGGCCAUGUCGAGCGUUGAGCUUGUUACUUAUUGAUCAUCCCUUCAUCUCCCGCAGUGGAGUGAUUAGUGCACCCACAUCCUCUCGCCGCUGGAGAGUUGCUGCUCUGUUGCUGCUGGUCCUGUGUCGGUUCAUGCUCAGUGUUGUGUUUGUUAUUUUGAGUUUUGUUUAUCUACCUCCCCUGAGCCGCCAUCUUGAGUAAGACUGUGGAGAAGGCUUGUAGUGUGGUCCAGUAGGGUAGACUCUAGUGGUAAUCCACUGUAUGUUUUCUGUGAAUCUGUGGUUGUUUUUGUUUUUUUUUAUUUUUACUAUGUGUUUGGUGGCUGACACCAGCUGUGAGAUUGUCACCUUGUGUGUAUGUAUGAGUGUGUGGAAGUGAUCUAUUCAGGUGUGGCACUUGAGGCGGCUGCCCUCCCUUCUCUGUAUAAUGUGGCUGGUCAUCUCUCUCUACUAGCUAUCAUAAGAUAAGUACCAUCCAGUUCUUUCUUAUUGAUAAUCAAAUACCAACAUUUGGAAUUGUAUUACUCUGUAUUCAGUAUCUCCUCUCUCUUUGGGCAGGUAUGAGGUGCAUCCCAUAGCAAGCCAGUCUUCGGGUGGUGGACCUUCUCACACUUCCAUUGCUGUGUACACGUUUGGUGAUUAUUAUUUUGCAGUGUUACUUUGAAUUUUGUGGAUUUUGUUUAAUUAAUUUGUGGUGUUUUCCUGAUCUUUCCUGUCUCUUCCCGUGCUGCUAGUGGAGAGCCUCUCCAGCCUGACCCACUAGUUGAUCAUUCUCACUUUAAGCCACAUAGCAGGUUAUUGUGCAGUCCACCUCCUUGUGCGCCAUUUGUGCCUCAGCUUGGCCGUCCAGUCUGACGGACCAUGAAGUGUGUGUGUGUGUGUGUGCGCGUGCACACCUAUGAUAUGAGUUGUAUGUGACACCAUGUGAUGUGAUGUUUUGAUCUGGAAAUAUGACUUAUGUUCCAUGUGGUUUAAUGUGAUGGACAAUUACUGAAUGCAGUGUUCAAACUGUUAAACUCCUUGCAGCCUUCUGGGCUACUACAGAAGUAACAUGCCAUACACCUGUGAAUAAAUGACAACCCAUGUGAACAUA